AAUAAAUCUUAUAAAUAUAAUACUUGAGUUAUUGUAUAUUGCUUUUAAUUCUCACAGCUAAGAAGGGAUAAGCCACUUCCCUCACCCAUCUGCUUCAGCCAGAAUUCCUUGCUGCUGCCUCUGGCGUUGCUGCUGCCAAUCCAGCCUUUGGCUGUUAACUCUAAGUCGCCUGCUUCUGGUGCUUCUGUUCCUGAUCCUCCUCCUGCUGCUGCUGUUUCUGUUGCUUAUUGCCGCUGCAUCUUUAGAACACACAAGCUGGGAAUCGCUCUCCCAGCAGUUGGUAAAUUGCCUUGCCAAGAGCUGGGUGCUUGCUCACUGCUUGCCUUGGAAGCCCAGGAGCUCCUGGUCCUGGUUCUUCUCCCCAGAGGGGUAUUUACAUCUGGCACCUGAACCAUAGGCACCUGAGUG
ensembl:lncRNA